UUUUAAUAUAAAUAUAGUUGGGCAGUAAAUUUAUGGUAGUAUUUAUUCAGUUUUGGUUUCUUCUAUCAUUGUUGUUCCCACAGUAUUUUAAUUUCCCUUUUGAUAAUUUAUUUAUUUGGAUAGUGCAAAGGGAAGAAAUUUCAGGAUCCUCUCGGCGCUUCUUUUUGUUGGUGGAGAGAUAAUAUCUUUGUGAAGUGUCUAUAUAGAUAGUUUGUAUUGCAACUUUCAUAUUGUGUUUUUAUUAUAAAUUUCUGUAAUUUGGGCGAGUAUUCAAGUUAUGAUGAUUUCUCCGUUUUUGAGAUAACGGACUGAUUUUUUGUUAUUGGUUGCGUUUAUAGGUUCGGGGUGAAUUACCAUUUCUGAAGUGUAAAGUAACAUUAGAUUAUGUGAUAUUCUCAGAUAAAGCUUCUGCUGAGAAAGUAACAUCAAAUUUCUCAAAUAUAGUGAGCCAAAUGGCUCAAGAUCUUGGCAGGUUUCCCCCCCCAAUCGUUACAACAAUGAUUAUAGACAAUUCUAGUUAGAGCUGUUUCAUUGGAACAUGAAUCAAAGAAGUAUUUGCUUGGAAGGCAAAAAUUUCAUGGAACUGUGAUUUGAUUGCUUGAUAUAAAAUUAAAAUUAUAUUGAAAUAUCAUUUGAAUAGCGGCUUAUGUGGAAUUCCACUUCUAUAACAUCUGAACACACAAAAUGCAUACAUAUCUAUGUACAGGCCUAUAACCAUGCAAUGAGAUAUUGAAUCGUUUUGCAGCUUUUAGUGUUUAAUAAUUUA